UACGUAGGGUGCAAGCGUUGGUCCGGAAUUAUUGGCGUAAAGAGCUCGUAGGCGGUUUGUUGCGUCGGCGUGUGAAAUCCCGAGGCCUCAACCUCGGGUCUGCAGUCGAUACGAGCAAACUAGAGUGUUGCGAGGGGAGACUGGAAUUCCUGGGUGAUAGCGGUGAAAUGCGCAGACUAGUCGAAGGGAGGGAACACCCGGUGGGCCGAAGGCGGG
rnacentral:rRNA from 1 species